UCUCUGAUAGUAUAUCGGCUAGUACACCCGCCUGUCAUGGGACUCAGGGUACAAACCUGCCGCGGGAGAGCUGGGUUCGACUCCCAGUCAGAGAG